AUCCCAUCCUUCUUGGGAACAGCUACAGCAAAAUGCUCAGCUCUGUGAUAGCUGUGAGAGCACCAAUCUUCACCCAUCCUUAGGCUGCUAGAAGGAAGGACCCUGAGGCCAGAAGAAAACUGUGUGGUGCUGUGAGAAGAACCAAGGUUGCCUUCUAUGACUCAUCAGCCUGGUUUUGGAGAAAUACUGGAUUUAUUUCAUGGACAUCAUUUCCUGAGAGCUGAAGCAAAGGUCCAAGAGGAGAACAAAAACACUUGGGGCUGCACCUUCCUCUGAGGAUGUUCCAUGGAUGAGCUCAUCCGGGUGCCUUUCCUUCCAACAGAGGAAUUUACUAGUAGGAGCAGAAAUAUGGGCAGAAUGAACUUUGGAUUUUCCAGGGAAUAGCAGCUUGGGGUUCACAUAUACAUUGCAGGCUUAUAGAAGGCUUUUUGUUCAUGUUCACUGAAGCUUCCUAUUUCCUUCCUGCUUUCCUUGGACCAGCUGACCUCAGAGCAAGAAUAGCAGAUGGAAAGC
rnacentral:lncRNA from 1 species